rnacentral:rRNA from 1 species
UACGAAGGGGGCUAGCGUUGCUCGGAAUCACUGGGCGUAAAGGGCGCGUAGGCGGCCAUUCAAGUCGGGGGUGAAAGCCCAGGCUCAACCCUGGAAUUGCCUUCGAUACUGUUUGGCUAGAGACCGGAAGAGGUAAGUGGAACUGCGAGUGUAGAGGUGAAAUUCGUAGAUAUUCGCAAGAACACCAGUGGCGAAGGCGGCUUUCUGGCCCGUUCUUGACGCUGAGGCGCGAAAGCUAGGGUAGCAAACGGG